UACGUAGGGCGCAAGCGUUUAUCCGGAAUUAUUGGGCGUAAAGAGCUCGUAGGCGGUUUGUCGCGUCUGCCGUGAAAGUCCGGGGCUCAACUCCGGAUCUGCGGUGGGUACGGGCAGACUAGAGUGAUGUAGGGGAGACUGGAAUUCCUGGUGUAGCGGUGAAAUGCGCAGAUAUCAGGAGGAACACCGAUGGCGAAGGCGGCUCUCUGGGACGGUACUGACGCUGAGACGCGAAAGCGUGGGGAGCGAACAGG
rnacentral:rRNA from 1 species